ensembl:lncRNA PRSS30P serine protease 30, pseudogene
CGGAAGUUUAGCGAACCACCCUCAACCUCCGGAAGAGCGCGGGAAGUUUGCCGGAAACGGACAGAAAGGAGUCCCUGCGACCGCGUAGCCUCCUGCAGCGCCCCCUGUUGGCAGAGUCGUAGCGAGGCCGAGAUGAGGUCCGUGACGUGGCUGCGUGAGCAUCCCGGCUGCCUGUGGAUGAGUGGGCGUGGGGCUGAGAGGCGACAACAGUGGGGAGCUUCCUCAGCGAUCCUGGGCUUCUCGGGUCAGGCCAACUUCAGUCCGGGCUGGAGGCCGUGCACAACACCAAGCGCAUGGUGGGGUCCUCAGCUGCCUCGGGACUGGCUCCGCCUCUGCCCCUGGCCCUGGGAUGGGGGCCAAAGGUUUUGGGCAGUGGCAGCAGCAGGAGGAAGUAGCACCUGGAAAACGUGUCUCCUGAGUCGACCCUUCCUGUCUGGGGGGGCCGAACCCUGGCUGUCUUUGUUCCCAUAGCAACGAAUAGGGCUCCCCUAUGUUCCAGCCCCUUAGAUACGGUGUGCCCCAGGAGGGCUCUGCAGGAGCUACAGGUCCUUCUGGUGGGAAGGGAGGCGGGAGGUGGGCUGGGGCAGCCCGGCUGGCCUGUGUGGAGACAUCACACUUCCUGGUUGGGGACAGGGUGAAGAGGGUUGGUCCCCACCUCUGCCUUGAGCAGAGCUUCUAGUGGGUGAAGCAGUGGGGAUCUCCUGCCUGCCGGAAGGAUGGGUGGGGCUUCCACAUCGCAGCCCAGUAGGGUGGACUGACCGGUCUUCUGACCUCUGGCUCCUUGGAGGGACUGGCCUGAGGUGGGCCCUGGCAUCCCCAGCCUCCUCUAAACCACCUCCCUGGAACAUGCGGGACAGGAGCCCAAGCGGCAUCUGAGGAGGGCGGGUUCUGCCAGGCACAGAGGGCUCCAGCGUGAUUGCCACUGGUUAAUGACCUGCCACCCCCGCCCCCCCAACCUCUGGUGCCGUCCAAGGACUCUGACCCCAGUGCAGUGUCUGUAGGGAAGAGGAGCCAUGGGGCUUCGGGCAGGCCCCAUCCUGCUUCUGCUGCUGUGGCUGCUGCCAGGGGCCCAUUGGGAUGUGCUGCCUUCAGGUACCGUAGACAUCUCAUCCCUGCACUCAAACAGCCCCUACUCCUGGCCAGGGAGGACUGGCCCCAGGGGACAUGCAGAGGCCCUUGGCCCUGGGAGCCUCAUCCCUGGACAUCAAGGGCAGAGGAAUGUCAGAAGGGAUGUCAGAAGGGCAGAGGGAUGUUAGGGUAAAGAGUCAGACCGGGAGGGAUGGGCUUUCUGAGAGGGAAUAAAGCUGAGGUCUCCCACCCGCCCAUCCCUCUGCAGAAUGCGGCCACUCCAAGGAGGCCGGGAGGAUUGUGGGAGGCCAAGACACCCAGGAAGGACGCUGGCCGUGGCAGGUUGGCCUGUGGUUGACCUCAGUGGGGCAUGUAUGUGGGGGCUCCCUCAUCCACCCACGCUGGGUGCUCACAGCCGCCCACUGCUUCCUGAGGUGAGUGGCGCUGGGUGGGGGUGCUCCUCACCCCUCCCCUUGGCGGCUGCCUGCAGUGGGCCGUGUUUCCAUUCCCCUCCCAGGUCUGAGGAUCCCGGGCUCUACCAUGUUAAAGUCGGAGGGCUGACACCCUCACUUUCAGAGCCCCACUCGGCCUUGGUGGCUGUGAGGAGGCUCCUGGUCCACUCCUCAUACCAUGGGACCACCACCAGCGGGGACAUUGCCCUGAUGGAGCUGGACUCCCCCUUGCAGGCCUCCCAGUUCAGCCCCAUCUGCCUCCCAGGACCCCAGACCCCCCUCGCCAUUGGGACCGUGUGCUGGGUAAACGGGCUGGGGGUCCACUCAGGAGAGGGGGAAGGGGAAUAUGCACUCACCAGCCCCUACUCCUAGUCAGGGAGGACAAGCCCAGGGACCACGCAGAGCCAGCCUGAGUGGUCUCCACAGACGUUGGUCUGCGUGUUUAUCUCCUCUCCCCUCCCACCCCACCCUGAAGCUGGGAACACUUGGGGCCAGGACCCAUGCUGUCCAGACUGUGGGACUCCCCUUGGCCAAGGUGACCACCAUAUUGGAUUUUGGGGAUCUUGAGCCAGUGUCCAGGAUUGUGCCCGUGUUGGGAUGAAUAAGCCAAGGCUAAGAGGUCAUGAGAUUAGCCAGGGUCAUGGGAGAGGAUCUGGGCUUGAGCCCUGCUCCCUGACCCCACUGCCUCCUGGUUUGGGAGUUGAGAAGAGCAGGGUGGGUGGGCAGAGAAGAGGUAGGAGGUGCAGGCUGCCACCAUCACAGGUGAGAGGGCAGAGGCUCACCUGAUGGGGACGAGGCUUGAGGUGGGCUCAGGCUGGCCCCCACAUCACAUCCAGCCCUGGCGAGUGUCCUUCAGGAGGUGGCUGUGCCCCUCCUGGACUCGAACAUGUGUGAGCUGAUGUACCACCUAGGAGAGCCCAGCCUGGCUGGCCAGCGCCUCAUCCAGGACGACAUGCUCUGUGCUGGCUCUGUCCAGGGCAAGAAAGACUCCUGCCAGGGUGACUCCGGGGGGCCGCUGGUCUGCCCCAUCAAUGAUACGUGGAUCCAGGCCGGCAUUGUGAGCUGGGGAUUCGGCUGUGCCCGGCCUUUCCGGCCUGGUGUCUACACCCAGGUGCUAAGCUACACAGACUGGAUUCAGAGAACCCUGGCUGAAUCUCACUCAGGCAUGUCUGGGGCCCGCCCAGGUGCCCCAGGAUCCCACUCAGGCACCUCCAGAUCCCACCCAGUGCUGCUGCUUGAGCUGUUGACCGUAUGCUUGCUUGGGUCCCUGUGAACCAUGAGCCAUGGAGUCCGGGAUCCCCUUUCUGGUAGGAUUGAUGGAAUCUAAUAAUAAAAACUGUAGGUUUUUUAUGUGUAUUUUA